ACGGUCCCCUUAAACUUCGAACCAAAGCGAACCCUUUCCUUAGGUUGCUGUUGGACAGGAACCUGGCUACAGAGGGAUGACUCUUCUGGAGCAUCCCCUCAGGGUAGGAGUCAGGGAGGAUGCGCCGCCGGCUAAGGCUUCAGUUCUUGGUGGCCUUGGCUUGCGGAUGCUGCCCCAUGCUCUCUGAUCGAUACCCCAUGUUCGCAUGCCCGGUCCUCUUUCCAGGGACACCACAUUGGCUGAGGACCUACACCUGUGAGCUGAUCUUAACUUGAUCAGCCCUGCCCAGAAGGACCCUGUUUAAAGAGGACAACUUGCUGGAGAUUGUCCUCUCCUUCCACUGUGGGUCCCACCCAGGGAUUGAACUCUGGUCAUUGGGUUUGGCGGUUGACGCCUUCACCUGCUGAGCUACCUCACUGGACUCGUGAUUUAACACAGAUGUCUCCUCUAUGAAGGCAAUCCCAACAAAGCAUACGGAAAGAUGUGAAUUGGAGCCAUCCUCUGUCACUAGAGGACUGAAGUCAGAACACAGCCAUGACUGUAGGAAUAUGCAUACUUAGCAGAAUGGACGGGUUAAACAAUCAAAUAAAUACAAGGGCAAUUUCCUGUGCUGGAGAGGAUCCAGGCAACAGGAACCCAGAGACUGACCAUAGAUGCCCUUUGGAGGACUCACAGAGCUCACUGUGGCCUUGCCAACAGUUCUUGGCUGUUCCCCACAAUAAAAUCUUCCCACAA
rnacentral:lncRNA from 1 species